rnacentral:rRNA from 1 species
UACAGAGGUGGCAAGCGUUGUUCGGAAUUACUGGGCGUAAAGCGUGCGUAGGCGGUUUGUUAAGUCUGUCGUGAAAGCCCCGGGCUCAACCUGGGAAUGGCGAUGGAUACUGGCGAGCUAGAGUACGGUAGAGGAGAGUGGAAUUCCCGGUGUAGCAGUGAAAUGCGUAGAGAUCGGGAGGAACAUCAGUUGCGAAGGCGGCUCUCUGGACCAGUACUGACGCUGAGGCACGAAAGCGUGGGGAGCAAACAGG